rnacentral:rRNA from 1 species
UCUCCUGGAAAACGGGUGGUAAUGCCGGAUGCUCCAGUUGAUCGCAUGGUCUUCUGGGAAAGCUUUCGCGGUAUGGGAUGGGGUCGCGUCCUAUCAGCUUGACGGCGGGGUAACGGCCCACCGUGGCUUCGACGGGUAGCCGGCCUGAGAGGGCGACCGGCCACAUUGGGACUGAGAUACGGCCCAGACUCCUACGGGAGGCAGCAGUGGGGAAUAUUGCACAAUGGGCGCAAGCCUGAUGCAGCGACGCCGCGUGAGGGAUGGAGGCCUUCGGGUUGUAAACCUCUUUUAUCGGGGAGCAAGCGAGAGUGAGUUUACCCGUUGAAUAAGCACCGGCUAACUACGUGCCAGCAGCCGCGGUAAUACGUAGGGUGCAAGCGUUAUCCGGAAUUAUUGGGCGUAAAGGGCUCGUAGGCGGUUCGUCGCGUCCGGUGUGAAAGUCCAUCGCUUAACGGUGGAUCCGCGCCGGGUACGGGCGGGCUUGAGUGCGGUAGGGGAGACUGGAAUUCCCGGUGUAACGGUGGAAUGUGUAGAUAUCGAAAAAAAACACCA